rnacentral:rRNA from 1 species
AGAGCGAACGCUGGCGGCAGGCCUAACACAUGCAAGUCGAACGGACCCUUCGGGGUUAGUGGCGGACGGGUGAGUAACGCGUGGGAACGUGCCUUUUGGUUCGGAAUAGCUCCUGGAAACGGGUGGUAAUGCCGAAUGUGCCCUUCGGGGGAAAGAUUUAUCGCCAUUAGAGCGGCCCGCGUCUGAUUAGCUAGUUGGUGAGGUAAUGGCUCACCAAGGCGACGAUCAGUAGCUGGUCUGAGAGGAUGACCAGCCACAUUGGGACUGAGACACGGCCCAAACUCCUACGGGAGGCAGCAGUGGGGAAUCUUGCGCAAUGGGCGAAAGCCUGACGCAGCCAUGCCGCGUGAAUGAUGAAGGCCUUAGGGUUGUAAAGCUCUUUUACCCGAGUAUGAUAAUGACAGUAGUACGGGAGAAUAACGCCCCGACUAACCGUCCGUGCCAGCAGCCGAC